GGGGAAUCUUGGACAAUGGGCGCAAGCCUGAUCCAGCCAUGCCGCGUGAGUGAAGAAGGCCUUCGGGUUGUAAAGCUCUUUUGUCAGGGACGAUAAUGACGGUACCUGAAGAAUAAGCCCCGGCAAACUUCGUGCCAGCAGCCGCGGUAAUACGAAGGGGGCUAGUGUUGUUCGGACUUACUGGGCGUAAAGCGCACGUAGGCUGAUUGUUAAGUGAGGGGUGAAAUCCCGAGGCUCAACCUCGGACC
rnacentral:rRNA from 1 species